rnacentral:rRNA from 1 species
UACAUGGGGUGCAAACGUUGCUCGGAAUUAUUGGGCGUAAAGCGCGCGUAGGCGGUUACUUAAGUCGGAUGUGAAAGCCCUCGGCUUAACUGAGGAAGUGCACCCGAAACUGAGUAGCUAGAGUACGAAAGAGGGUCGCGGAAUUCCCGGUGUAGAGGUGAAAUUCGUAGAUAUCGGGAGGAACACCUGUGGCGAAAGCGGCGCACUGGACCACAACUGACGCUGAGGCGCGAAAGCUAGGGGAGCAAACAGG